UUUUUGUACAGUGUGUCCAUAAAAUUUCUAAAUAUAGUCAAAUAAGUAAAGUAUUUUUUUAAAAAGCAAAUGACUUUCAUGUGUAUCAUUUUUGUAACAGAUGAGGAUAGUGUUAAUGUCGUUUUCCAUUGGACGAACUUUGUUAUCACAACUGGAAUAGUUUUAUCCCUGGCUACCUUGUUAGCGUUAUUCUGUAUUAUAAAAGGGUAAAUUUUAUCAUAUUUCUCUGCAAAUAAUAUUUCAAUAUACACAUAUUAAGAAAUAGUUUACAGUAUAAUAUCAUCUAAACGGAAGAUAUCCAUCUUUUUUAAUUAUCAUUGGUUUGUUGAUGAAUUAGGCAUAAAUGAAAGUAAUAUAAAUUACUACAAGUCGCAUGAGCUCUGAAAUUUGAAUUGAGUGUAAUUUUAAACUGUGUUAUUUUAAAAGUCGAAAAAUCAAGGAAGUGAUUCCGAAACAUCGGCAUUGGAAUCAAACCUGUGAAGUGAAGAAGAGAUCGGCUGUGGACACCAAUGGCAUUCAAAUAUGUGUUGAUCUCGAUAUUAGCUCAAACAAAGAGAGAGCAAGGCACAAGGAACACAACACGAAGUUGUCAAAGAACCAGGAUGAGACACGUUUCAGAAAUUGGAAUACAUGCCAAAGAAAUGAAAUUCAAAAACCAGAAUUGUUCCGCGUCAACGAUGAUAAAGAUACAUAUUUAGAAAUGGACAAAAACAACAUAUGUUAUGCCAUUGUAGAGCUAGACAAAAAAAGUGAAUGUGAAAUCAACGAUGGAAAAGAAAUAAAACCAAACGCAUUCGAAGCGGACAGCAAACAUAUUGCUGUAAUAUGUCCUAAUGUAAAAACAUGAAUCAACUUAGACCCAAGAGUAACGGAGAGCUCAUCUGACA